UGAGGAAUAUUGGUCAAUGGGCGCAAGCCUGAACCAGCCAUCCCGCGUGCAGGAAGACGGCCCUAUGGGUUGUAAACUGACUUUUCCAGGGGGUAGAAUUUUUCUGUCGUGACAGGAAUUGACGGUACCCUGGGAAUAAGCAUCGGCUAACUCCGUGCCAGCAGCCGCGGUAAUACGGAGGAUGCGAGCGUUAUCCGGAUUUAUGGGUUUAAAGGUGCGUAGGCGGAUUGAUAAGUCAGUGGUGAAAACCUGCAGCUUAACUGUAGACUUGCCGUUGAUACUGUCAGUCUUGAGUGUGGUCAAGGUAGGCGGAAUGUGUAAUGUAGCGGUGAAAUGCUUAGAUAUUACACAGAACACGAUUGCGAAGGCAGCUUACUGGGCCAUUACUGACGCUGAUGCA
rnacentral:rRNA from 1 species